UACGUAGGGUGCAAGCGUUGUCCGGAAUUACUGGGCGUAAAGCGCACGUAGGCGGCUUUGUAAGUUAGAGGUGAAAGCCCGGAGCUCAACUCCGGAACUGCCUUUAAGACUGCAUCGCUUGAAUCCGGGAGAGGUGAGUGGAAUUCCGAGUGUAGAGGUGAAAUUCGUAGAUAUUCGGAAGAACACCAGUGGCGAAGGCGGCUCACUGGACCGGUAUUGACGCUGAGGUGCGAAAGCGUGGGGAGCAAACA
rnacentral:rRNA from 1 species